rnacentral:rRNA from 1 species
GAUCCUGGCUCAGGAUGAACGCUAGCUACAGGCUUAACACAUGCAAGUCGAGGGGCAGCAUGUAUCUGGCUUGCCAGAUAUGAUGGCGACCGGCGCACGGGUGAGUAACGCGUAUCCGACCUGCCCGCACACUCCCGGGAUAGCCUUGCGAAAGCAAGUUUAAUACCGGAUGCCGUAAUGGCGCCGCAUGGUGUUUUUACGAAAGGGAUUUACCGGUGUGCGAUGGGGAUGCGU